UUGGUUAAGUUAGAAAGGGCGCACGGUGGAUGCCUUGGCACUAGGAGCCGAAGAAGGACGGGACUAACACCGAUAUGCUUUGGGGAGCUGUACGUAAGCGUUGAUCCAGAGAUUUCCGAAUGGGGGAACCCACUAUCUUUAGUCGGAUAGUAUCCUUACGUGAAUACAUAGCGUGAGGAAGGCAGACCCAGGGAACUGAAACAUCUAAGUACCUGGAGGAAGAGAAAGAAAAAUCGAUUUCCUGAGUAGCGGCGAGCGAAACGGAAAGAGCCCAAACCAAGAAGCUUGCUUCUUGGGGUUGUAGGACACUCUAUACGGAGUUACAAAAGAAAGUUAUAAAUGAAGCGGUCUGGAAAGGCCCGCCAAAGACGGUAACAGCCCGGUAGUUGAAAUAGCUUUCCCUCCAGAGUGGAUCCUGAGUACGGCGGAACACGUGAAAUUCCGUCGGAAUCCGGGAGGACCAUCUCCCAAGGCUAAAUACUCCCUAGUGACCGAUAGUGAACCAGUACCGUGAGGGAAAGGUGAAAAGCACCCCGGAAGGGGAGUGAAACAGUUCCUGAAACCGUGUGCCUACAAGUAGUUAGAGCCCGUUAAUGGGUGAUAGCGUGCCUUUUGUAGAAUGAACCGGCGAGUUACGAUUUGUUGCAAGGUUAAGCGGAAAAAGCGGAGCCGUAGCGAAAGCGAGUCUGAAUAGGGCGCAUAAGUAACAGGUCGUAGACCCGAAACCAGGUGAUCUACCCAUGUCCAGGAUGAAGGUAAGGUAAUACUUACUGGAGGUCCGAACCCACGCACGUUGAAAAGUGCGGGGAUGAGGUGUGGGUAGCGGAGAAAUUCCAAUCGAACUUGGAGAUAGCUGGUUCUCUCCGAAAUAGCUUUAGGGCUAGCCUCGAGGUAAAGAGUCAUGGAGGUAGAGCACUGUUUGGACUAGGGGCCCUUCUCGGGUUACCGAAUUCAGAUAAACUCCGAAUGCCAUGUACUUAUACUCGGGAG
rnacentral:rRNA from 1 species